UACGAAGGGGGCUAGCGUUGCUCGGAAUUACUGGGCGUAAAGCGCACGUAGGCGGCUUGUUAAGUCGGGGGGUGAAAUCCUGGAGCUCAACUCCAGAACUGCCUUCGAUACUGGAGAGCUCGAGUCCGGGAGAGGUGAGUGGAACUGCGAGUGUAGAGGUGAAAUUCGUAGAUAUUCGCAAGAACACCAGUGGCGAAAGGCGGCUCACUGGCCCGGUACUGA
rnacentral:rRNA from 1 species